rnacentral:rRNA from 1 species
UAAACUAGGAUUAGAUACCCUAUUAUUUAAAAUGUAAAUAAAUUGCUAAAGUAGUAAUAGUUAUGUUCUUGAAACUUAAAAAAUUUGGCGGUAUUUUAGUCUAUCUAGAGGAACCUGUUUUUUAAUCGAUAAUCCACGAUGGACCUUACUUAAAUUUGUAAUCAGUUUAUAUACCGUCGUUAUCAGAAUAUUUUAUAAGAAUAAUAAUAUUCAAUAAUUUUAAUAAAAAUUUAUAUCAGAUCAAGGUGUAGCUUAUAUUUAAGUAAUAAUGGGUUACAAUAAAUUUAUUUAUAUGAAUAAAAUUAUGAAAAAAUUUUUGAAAGUGGAUUUAGUAGUAAAAUUAUAAAGAUUAAUAAUUUGAUUUUAGCUCUAAAAUAUGUACACAUCGCCCGUCGCUCUUAUUAUUAAGGUAA